CCGGUGAGCUGAGCCCGACCGGCCGGCCAGGCAGCUCCAGCCGCCGUCUCUACGCUGCCUGCUGCCACCGGCCGGCCUAGUCUGAUCCAACCAGGGACCGGACGGGUCCGCCGUGGCGAGCCAGUGGCGCCCGGCCGCUUCUGUGGACGGCUUUUUGCCGGCCGUUGCGUCGCGCUGGAGAGUCGGACCGGGUGUGGACAGAUCGAUCCUGGCGGGACGAGGCCGGACGGAUGGCCUGUCGCAAACGUCGGCCCCGGUUCGCCGCCGUGGUGGGAGGGGGUACGAUGCGGACGGACCGCGGGCCGGGCCUCGGCUCUGCUGAACUGACUGCGGCCGCUGGCCCGGACAAGAGCGGCUCCACGGAUAGCCUGGACGAGCCGGCGGCCGUCGCGCGCACACAGCGCCCGCAGCGGACCGCGGCGUCCGUCGCCGACGUCGGCUUCGCCAGCGACCCGGACGAGGACACGGCCACCUUCAAGUCGGCGCUGUCGUCCUCCGAGGCCCUCAGACAGAGGGAAGGCGCAACCACGAUGGCGGACGUGACCGGCACCGCCGUCGCCGUGCCGCCGCCCCAGCCGUCGGCGGGCGACGCUGUCUGGACCAACGGUGGCGGCAGCCCGGCCGGCGACCCUGCCAAGCUGUGGCGCGGCGGUGACGGUCGCACCGUGCGCGACAUCGUCGAGAAUGGCCUCAGCGGCGACGACUCGGCGCGCCUGGCGAGCGGCGGCCGGACGACCGGCGCUCUCGACUCGCUCGGGCCCGAGUCGCUGAGCCAUGGGCCCGAGUCGCUGAGCCAAGGGCCCGAGUCGCUGAGUCAUGGGCCCGAGUCGCUGAGUCAUGGGCCCGAGUCGCUGAGUAUGACGCCGCUUGACGACGACUACUACGAGGACUUCACGAUGCCGGGCACGCACGAGUCGGUCAUGUCGCGCCAGAUGAGCUUCCGACGCCGCGUGCGCGCCGCGCCCGUCACCGAGCCGGACGCCGACCGCAUCGAGCGGCUGGUCCGCGCCGGGGAGCUGGAGCGGCACGGCAGCAUCCGGCGGCGACUGGUGGCGCCGUCUGCGCCGGCACCGGCUGCCGGCAGUCCGGGCCGCUUCGGCCGCGACCUGCGCGAGAUCGAGGAGCUGAUGGCCGAGGACGGAGAUCAGGUGGCGAUCGACGAGCUGCCCAGCCUGGGCCCGGUGCUCGGCUCGUCGACGCCGAAGACACCGGGCGGCGAGCAGCCCGCGUCGCUCCCGCCGCUUGGCGACGAGCCACUCAGCAUGGAGAAUAGCACCGUCAUGAAAAUCCGUGAGUGUCUCGACCGCGAGAAGGUCAAGGACAUCUACACCAUCAGCGGCCGCCUGCAGGACAUCCUGACGCAGGAGGACAUCCAGGAGAUCCUGGCGCACAGCGAGAUGUUCGCCGAGCUGCUGGGCGAGGGCAUCCUGGCCGAGUUGCGUAGCUCCAUGUGCGAGUCACAGCGGAGCACUCCGCCUCAGGCGCCGACCCCGGCUCCGCGCCGCUCGCCCGCGUCCGCGCCCGCGCCGCCAAACGUCAUCACCGUGCAAGCAGAGGUUAAUGCGGAACUGGAGCCAGAGGACCUGCCAGUUCCCAGCCCGCGACACCUGGUGGCCGGGGCGGCCGAGCUCGGCGCCGACCCGGACGUGGCGCGCGCCGCCGAGCGCGACGGACCGGCCUCGCUGCCGGAGCCGGCGGCGCCGCCCGCACCGGAGGAGCCGACCGGCAGGCUGUGGCGCAGUGGCUCGAUGCGGCGGCUGGACGGCUCCGGGCCGCCGGUGGAGGCGCUGUUCGCCGAGAGCGACGCCGCGCCGCCGGCCGGCCAGCGCCGCCUGCCGGCGCCCGCUAUCAGUCUGGACGACUCGGAGCCGGUCGGCGACCAGAGCACGCUCAGCGCACCUUCGGCCAAGCCGGCCGACGCGGACAGCGGCGUCAGCGAGGGGGCGCCGGCCGACCUGCAGCCGAGCGGCGACGAGGCUGGCGGCCGCGAGACGGCGCUGCCGCCGGGCCGCCACGAGCGGCGCGCAGAGCGGCCGAGCAGCCUCAGUCAGCGACGCCGCAAGAAGAUCAGCGUUACAGCCGACGUGCUGGAAGACGAGGACAGCAUGUCGACCUCGUCCGUCAGCCAGCUGGACAGCGACACGGAGCCGGUGACGCCCACGGACGCGCUGGCCACGGCCGACCUGCUCGACACGCUCACGCCAGACGACAUCGACACGCCCGACGAGCUGGAGGACAGCAUUCUCGGGCGUCUGCCUCCGGCCGAACCCAUUCCCGAGUACACGGCUCGGGAGGAGCUCAACAACGAACGCUCCUGGCGGACGUGCGUGGUGGCCGGUCUGGAGCGCCGCAUCGACAUGAAGGUCAUCGAACCGUACAAAAAGGUGCUGUCCCACGGCGGUUACCUGGGCCUGGAGGGCGACCAGGCCAUCAUUGUCUUCUCCGCCUGUUACCUGCCUGACCGCAGCCGGAGAGACUACUCCUACGUGAUGGACAACCUUUUCCUCUAUGUGCUGACGACGCUGGAUGCACUGAUCGCCGAGGACUACGUGCUGAUCUACCUGCACGGCGCUACUCAGCGCUCCUGCAUGCCUUCGUUCGGCUGGCUCAAGCGCUGCUACCAGAUGGUCGACCGCCGGCUGCGCAAGAACCUCAAGGGGCUGUACCUGGUGCAUCCCACCUUCUGGGUCAAAACCAUCGUGGCACUCACGCGGCCCUUCAUCAGCUCCAAAUUCAGCCGGAAGCUGCGGUUCGUCGCCGGCCUGCGCGAGCUCAGUCAGCUGGUGCCAAUGGAUCACGUGUGCAUCCCAGACCGUGUCAAACAUUUUCAGGAACGAUUAGACAACUAACCCUCCUCUCUGCUUUCACGCUAAGAUACGAUGAGAUAAAAGAGAGUCUGCAGGUAAAGGGCGGCACCAGUCGAGACUAGACUUCCAGCAGAUGAUUGCUGAGCGGAAAAAGCAGCUGGGCAUUCGCUAGCCGGUGUCCGAAUCUGUGCUCUGAAACACGCCCUAGCGGUGCCGCUUGGAAGCUUUGACUGCGACGGCGGCCGCCGCCGGGCGCGGCGCUGCCGGCAGCCGUGGACCAGUCUAGUCGUAACAGAAGUGGACAGAGAUGGCGCUGUGGCGCCACACGCCUUGGGUGCCGCUGGCGAUGGUGGGAAUGGCCGGUGUCCGGCCGGUCGACGGAGCUCCUGGUGGCGCUGUCGUGUAACGUGAGACCUGAGCGCUGGCGCCGGUCCGCGCCGGGCCCGUCAUCAUCGCGCGGUCGUUCUGCUUCGGCUGACAUUUGCCGCCUGAACAUUGUGUCCGUUAAUUAAUUUGCUGUGUACUUCUGUGCAGUUGUAUGGUCGCUUUACGGUUAAGAGUGAUGCGAGCACUAACGUGCGGCUAGGUGUUUAUGGGUAAGACAAUGUGAUACUUUGUGGAUGUUCCAGGCGUCGGUCUGCCCUGAAAACCAGGAGGCUUGCCUGCAACGCCGCCUUAAUUUAAUCGUAUUUAAAAAGAAGUUAUACUUAAGUAAACUUCUUUACGGAUAGCGCUAUCGACGGAUAUUCAUAUCCACGCAAAUUGUGUACGUGAAAAGUUAAAUAAACUGGAGACCUCGGUGUUUUGUGACAAACGGUGCGGGUACAGCCUCGGCGUUGUGUGAUGACAUUCAGCUCGCUGCUGUAAAAUAAUGAACCGAGGCCAGUUUUGUAAAAAGAUGGUCGCCGCUCCCUCCCCAAAAUCAAGUGCAACAAAAAUAUACCCUCCUCUUACCGAGUUUUAUAAAUCAUCCUAACAACCGGCGUAAAUUUCAGCGGCGACAACUUUUUUAGACUCAAAAUCUGCGGUUACGCGUCAGAGGUACCACAUAUCAUCCUGCAAGAAAAUCGCUUUUGCGUUUUAAGAUGGUCGGUUAUGCUCAUUGAGGACUGCAACAUGGUUUUUGGUUAGAUAUUAGGUUCAGCGAGUGUCUGCGUGCAAUUUAUUGUUUUUGUAUCGCAAUAACAUUUUAACAUCUGUGUGAUAAACGAAUUU
rnacentral:misc_RNA from 1 species